rnacentral:lncRNA from 1 species
ACAAUUUUCAUAUCAGUGUGGUUGAAGCACAGAGAGAUAUGGCCCCAGAUAUGAUGGAGGUUAUGAGUGUGCAGUAAGAGUUACUUAGGGUGGACUUGAUGACAUCAUCUUAUAGCAAAACCUAUGCUAGGUUUAUUUUUAGAAGUUAGUAAAGAGAGACAAAAGACAAUUAGUGUAAAAUAAAUUAUAAGAAAAAUAUACAUCAUAUAAAGUAGUAGUAGUUAUUCUAAAUGUAGACUAUAUUUUGCUAUUAUCAAAGAGUAGCAAAAGCACAGUAUAAUCUGGGGAGAUAUCUGUUUAUGACUUUAAGAAGGGUCAGAUAUUCUGGAAAUGAAAAUAAAAAUACCAGCAAAUGCUGGAUACAUAGGUUUAUAAAACUGGAUUUGUAAGAAAUUUAGAAAAGUCUUUAGAAGACAAUGAAGCAAGCAGGAGCUGAAUAUUAAUGUGUGGUCACUCACCUGUAUUCACAAACAGGGACUUAGACUCUUGGCUCCUAGAGAAGAGGGAACAGGGCUUCAGUACCAGCAAGCAGGAACUGAAACUGAAACCUAAACACAAAAAGGGACACUCAAAUAUGAAGAGGUGGGUAGAGAAAAAUCAUUCCCACCAGCAGAGGAGAAAUCAAGAAAGCUGGUCUACUGCUUUCAGACCCUGUGUGGUGAUAGGGGAAUGGGAGUGGCAAAGACACAAAGAAUCCCUGAAUGUAAGUGGAUCCUCAUGAGAUUUAGGGAAGAAAAAGAAUGGAAAAUGAUUUACUCAAGUAAAUAAUAACCCAGAAGACAAAUCAGUCUUUAAUUUAAAAAGCCAUAUUUGGCUCAAGGAAUUAUGUAAAAUUAGGCAGAAAUUUUAAGUAUAUAAACAUCUAACAAAUACUUGAAAAAAAUUACAGUAAAAAUUGAUGGAUUUACAGAGAGAAAUCGAGCCAUCCUUGAAUUCAACAGAAGAUCUAAUAAUCUACCUUUCAUUAAUUUGGCGAUCAAACAACAACAACAAAAAAUGGCACAAUUAACAAUCUUGACCUAUGACUAUUUCUAUACUAAAUCAUUAGAGAAUACUUAUUCUUCUCUUGCAUACAUGGACUCUUUAUGAAAAUUAACCUUAUCUUGGUUCACAGAGCAUUUUCAACAAAAUUCAAAACGUCAAAGCACAGUUCACAUUCACUGAGAGAGGAGGUGUAAGUUAAAAAUGAAAAUCCAUCAAAAAGUAGAAACCCAAGUAAUGUUGAUAAGCUAUCAUUGGAGUAAAAUAUUUUUACCAUUUAUUUAUUCAUUUAUUGAUUUAUUUUAGGCCAUGCCCAGAUCAUGUGGAAAUUCCCAGGCUGGGGACUGGACCCAGGCCACAGCAGCAACCCAAGCCACUGCAGUGACAACACCAGAUCCUUAACCCUCUGUGCCACAAGAGAAUUCCUAUAAUCUAAAAUACUGUUUCACUUAUGGUAAAAAUGAGAUUGGAUGUAAAAUCUGUGAGUUUGUUUCUGUUCUAUAAAUAAGUUCUUUUGUAUCAUUUUUAAUGUGAUUCCACAUGCUAGUGCUAUCAUAUAAUAUUUGUUUUUCUCUGAUUUAUUUCAUUCAGUAUGAUAAUCUCUAGGUCUAUCCAUGUUGCUUCAAAUGGCAUUACUUUAUAGGACGGUGGGAAUAAAAUAUACACACUAGUGUAUAAAAUAGAUGAUUAUCAAGAACACUACUACAACACUGUCAGUCAAAUAUACUCCCAUUAAGUUAAAUAAAUAAAUAAACAAAUAAAAUACUCUGUCCUGAGCAAAACUGAGAUCUCAGAUCAUUGAGUCCACUGCAGAGAUUGAGAGUUGCAUUGCUAUGAUAAUCAUAAAAUAGACCCUUUUUUCUUUUUAUUGGUAUAUUGCCACACCAGGGUAGAGUCUGUGUUUUCUAGUUCCUUUGCCCUCAGGUAUAUUUGUACAUAGGAUUUCUGGCUGGUAGGAACAUAGCAUUGGUGAGUUACCUUAGACCAUGGAGACACAGCUUAUACCCUAGGGAAGACAAUUACAACCAAAUAGAAGUAGCUCAGCUUCCUAAUAAUUCUGAACUAAAAUAUUAGCUUUACUGGAUUGUUUAAAGCCAGAACUUUAUAUACAAAUAAGCAACAUUCUAUUUGUUAUAAUUUAUAUUUUUGUUUCAACUUCAUAGCCCAGCUUGUUCCCUAAUUAGUAUAAAACUCAAACUGAUUUAAAAAAUACAAAGUGACUAACUCAUAUCUCAAGUUUCUAGUUUUGACUUUGAGAACUUAAUGUGAGUUAUGUUUCAUACUAAGUUUUUGCUUCUAAAUCUGGUCUGCAUGUGAGUCAAGAGAUAUAACAUAUAUUUAGGUUUAAGGGUUGACUUUCAAAACACUUUUUUACUCAUCACAUUUAAAAUUGUUCUUCCAUACAUGUGCUGUUCAGACUCUAACAAAGGAAAAGAACACUGUCUGUCAGCCAGAGGAGUUAAGAUGGUGAUGGCUGUUGACAACUGAGCCACAACACGUUUCUCAGAGUAAGGUUUCUACUUAGGACCAAUAAGUUCAUGUCCACAAAACUACUUUUUAUUUAUCCCAGCCUUUUUGAGGUAAGGAUUUUUGCCUAACAUAUAAUGGCUUCUAGUUUCAAAUAUAAUUCAAUUUUACAAAUCUGCAAAGGAAGAACCACAACCAGAAAUAAAGCAAGCAACUAUUCUCAACCUCCCAUCACAGAAUCAAAAUUUUUUCCAUUUCUUCUAGGUUGCCCAUUUUAUUGGCAUGCAGUUGUUUGUGGUAGUCUCUUAUGAGCCUUUGUAUUUCUGUGAUAUACAUCAUAACCUCUCUUUUCAUUUCUGAUUUCAUUGUCUUUUCUCUUUUUUUUCUUAAUUAGUCUGACUGAGGGUUUUUCAUUUUUUUUUGAUCUUUUCAAAUAUUCUGUGAUAAGCUAUGUGGAAAAAGAAUCUGAAAGAGUGUGGAUGUCUGUACAUGUAUUACUAAGUCACUUGGUUGUACAGCAGAAAUUAUCACAACCUUGUGAAUCCACUGUACUUUAAUAAAACUUAUAAAGUAAUUUUUAAAAGCUUCCUCACAAUGAGCUGGUCUUUUCCUAUUCCGGUUGACAUUCUAAAUGGAGAGGACAGGGCACUUGGGUCAAAAUAGCUGUGACUAUCUGGAUUCAGCCAUUUAAAAUUAUCUGCUCAUGGCCUCCACAAUAAAAAAGACUAGUGAUAACUUCACAUGAUUUUUAUGAGGAUUAAAAAUGAUAUAAUUGAAAGUUAGUGGCAAAAUUAUAUGCAUAUGUUAUGUCCUUAAUAUUGACUGUAACUAUGCAUAGAUGUCUUGUGUCAGUUAGACUAUGUAGAAUUCGGGGUCUUCAUCUUAAAUUAUUUGUUUUAUCCCAUAGGACAUUACAGAGUGUUCUUUAUUUAUCAUAGUACUUUCCAAAACAACUAUUUGUAAAAUUGGGAAAAUUCAGAAAUAAAAGUGAAUAGUAAAGAAAAAAAAACUUAAAGAAGGUAACUAUAUAUAUCUAUAUUGUACAUAGAUAUAUAAAUAUAUAUGGUAACAAUAAAAAUAUAUAUUAUAUAUAAUAAGGAGGCAACAACAAAAUAUAUAUAAUGUCAUAAGGCAUGUGAAUACAUUGGGAUUUGGGUAUUCAUAUUACUCUGUAAUGGAUUCUAGACACCAAGCCAUAGUGGAAAAUUAAAUAGUUAAAAAAAUCAGUAAGGAGUUAAUAUGAAAUCACAGUAUGUGGAAAUAGUUCUAUGGACCAUUUGCCACUCCAUGUGUAGUCUAACAAUAUUUUAAAAGGCUCAUCACCCCACAAAAAAAAUACAGCUUCAAAAAGGAUCUUUGUUCUUCAAUAAAUAAAAUUAAUCCUUAGGAAAAAAUAUAAUUUUACUAGUCUUUGCAUUUAUAUAUAUCUGAAAGUCCACUAGCAAGUAGAUCUUGUGAUAAAUCAUCAAAAUAAUAUGUAAAUCUGGCACUAUGUUUAGAAUUGAGAAUUCCUAGUAAAUGAAACUCUACCAAAUGGAGGAUAGGAUUUAACCAUGUACAUUGUCUUGGGGAAAUAUUUAAAAUAGAUUUUCCUAAGUAAUUUUUUAACGUACUCAUUUUUUAUGCUUGUGAAAUAACUGAGAAUAGAUUAAUAGUUGGUUGACACAUUUUUUAAACACUUGAAAUGAAUAUGUUGAUGGCAUAGAAGUAAUAACUUUGUAUUCCCUAAAAGAAAUACUUGAGGACAUUUAUCAUAAAACUGAAUCUAUAAGGCUUAGAUUUAUUUACAAUUUCUGAAUUGAAAGUUAAUACAUAAGCCUGUAUUUGAAAAUAUUCAAUUCAUUAAUUUGCAAGGCCUUUUCAAGCCCACAUUAAAGCUUGUUUCAUAAAUAUUGUACAUACAUAUGCCUAUGUCUAUCCUAAACUACCCUGCUUCAAACAGUGCCAGAUAGAGUAAAUGCUCAGUAAGUGAUGCUAAGUAUUGCUAUUACUGUGACAGUUAUGUUUCCUUCUUCUACAGGAUAUGUGGGUGGAUAAAAUAUUUUAAAAUAGUAAAUACAAUUAUUUUAAUUGCUUUGGCAUAGAAAUAUGAUUUAAAACCCUUUUCCCUGAAAAUUCAUAUAUUCAUUUGCGCUGAUAAAAAAUGUGUUUGGCUACUAAAGUCACAUGAUUUUUAUCAUUUUAUCUUCAUUGAAAAUAUAAAAUACAUUUAUUUCUCAAGUUUCUCAGUAUUAAAACCCUUCCCUUUUGAGACAUUAGCUUUAAUCAGCAAAUGGCCUUUUGGCAACUACUUUAGGGGCUCCUGGACCAUUUCAUAGGAUAAUCUGGUAAAAAUUUCCAUGCUUUUAUUCUCAGCUCUCCUAUUUAUAGUUCUCCCCUUUUAAAAUAUAUAUGGUAGGGAGUUACCGUUGUGGCGCAGUGGUUAAUGAAUCCGACUAGGAACCAUGAGGUUGAGGGUUCAAUCCCUUGCCUUGCUCAGUGGGUUAAGGAUCUGGAGUUGCCGUGAGCUGUGGUGCAGGUUGCAGAUAUGGCUGGGAUCCUGUAUUGCUGUGGCUGUGGUGUAGGCUGGCGGCUGCAGCUCCAAUUCAACCCCUAGCCUGGGAACCUCCAUAUGCUGCAGGAGCAGCCCAAGAAAUG